CAAUCAUCUUUGCAUUGCUACUGCCUGAGAGUAAUCCUCAUCUUUUUCCCAGAGUGUUGUAAGUGCCACUUCAUUAACCUCCCUCAUUUAUUUUUUCCUGCUUCUCAUUGUACACAUAGCUACAAGAGUGGUAAGACAUAGAUAAGAUCAUGACACUCCUUUACGUAAAGUUAACCCUGCUUGGUAUGUCAUACAAGGUCUUCAUCUCUUCUGCUUUGCACCCUCUGCCCUUGACACACUGGAUGUGCACUUCUUUAUCUUUCCAUCUUUGUCCCUGUAGUUCUUCACUUGCUCUGCAUCCUCUUGACCUCUUUGUAUUGUCAUUAAAAUUUUUUCUUUGGCCAUACUAAUAGGUGUAUACAGGCAUUUAAUUGUGGGUUUUUAAAAAUUGUUGUUACAUGAGUAUACUGCAUAAUGAUGGAGAUUUGAGUAUCCACUACCCAAAUAGUGAACGUUGUACAUGAUAGGUAAUUUUUCAACCCUUGUGCCUCUUUCACCCUCCCUUCACCUCUUUUGGAGUCCCCAGUAUCUAUUAUCUCCACCUUUAUGUCCGUGU
rnacentral:lncRNA from 1 species